AACGUUAUUACAAGUUUAGAAGAUAUAGCGAUACAUGUUACUACAUGUCUCGAAUACGUGCAACUAACCAUGGUCACACUCAUAUUUCAUCAUCUAUGUUACCUUGCUAUGAUAUGAUCACAUACAAGAGAAGGUCGAUCACAAUGAGCAAAAGCGGGAUUACGUAGUAGUUCUUGAGUUGUCAGUUCUGAUUUAUCUCGCGCGCUAGCGUCCACCUCAAGUAAAUAGCUUCUGCCUCGAUUCUGCUAUCAAACCAUUUCUGG
rnacentral:lncRNA from 1 species